GACAGAGGGUGCAAACGUUGUUCGGAAUUACUGGGCGUAAAGCGCGUGUAGGCGGUCGGGUAAGUCGGAUGUGAAAGCCCCGGGCUCAACCCGGGAAGUGCAUUCGAUACUACUUGGCUAGAGUACUGGAGAGGAUGGUGGAACUCUCGGUGUAGAGGUGAAAUUCGUAGAUAUCGAGAAGAACACCGGCGGCGAAGGCGGCCAUCUGGACAGAUACUGACGCUGAGACGCGAAAGCGUGGGGAGCAAACAGG
rnacentral:rRNA from 2 species